rnacentral:rRNA from 1 species
UACGUAGGGUGCGAGCGUUAAUCGGAAUUACUGGGCGUAAAGCGCACGUAGGCGGCUUGGUAAGUUAGAGGUGAAAGCCUGGAGCUCAACUCCAGAAUUGCCUUUAAGACUGCCGAGCUAGCAGGUGAGAGAGGUGAGUGGAAUUCCGAGUGUAGAGGUGAAAUUCGUAGAUAUUCGGAAGAACACCAGUGGCGAAGGCGGCUCACUGGCUCAUACUGGACGCUGAGGUGCGAAAGCGUGGGGAGCAAACAGG